ACGGGUGAGUAACAUUUAGGAAUCUGCCUAGUAGUGGGGGAUAGCUCGGGGAAACUCGAAUUAAUACCGCAUACGACCUACGGGUGAAAGGGGGCGCAAGCUCUUGCUAUUAGAUGAGCCUAAAUCAGAUUAGCUAGUUGGUGGGGUAAAGGCCCACCAAGGCGACGAUCUGUAACUGGUCUGAGAGGAUGAUCAGUCACACCGGAACUGAGACACGGUCCGGACUCCUACGGGAGGCAGCAGUGGGGAAUAUUGGACAAUGGGGGCAACCCUGAUCCAGCCAUGCCGCGUGUGUGAAGAAGGCCUUUUGGUUGUAAAGCACUUUAAGCAGGGAGGAGAGGCUAAUGGUUAAUACCCAUUAGAUUAGACGUUACCUGCAGAAUAAGCACCGGCUAACUCUGUGCCAGCAGCCGCGGUAAUACAGAGGGUGCGAGCGUUAAUCGGAAUUACUGGGCGUAAAGCGAGUGUAGGUGGCUCAUUAAGUCACAUGUGAAAUCCCCGGGCUUAACCUGGGAACUGCAUGUGAUACUGGUGGUGCUAGAAUAUGUGAGAGGGAAGUAGAAUUCCAGGUGUAGCGGUGA
rnacentral:rRNA from 1 species